rnacentral:lncRNA from 1 species
UCUCAAGGUGUGUGUUGUGAGACACUAUUCUAUUUUGCAUAUUUGUUUUUUUUUUUUUUUUUUUUGAGACAGGGUUUCUCUGUAUAUCCCUGAGACACUAUUCUUAAGAGAUGUCAACAAAGGUCUAUCCACCUCUGAUUCAGAACUGACAAUGGACCAAAGUAGGCGGACCACCAAAGUCCAAUGUGAAGAGCCAGGGUGUUUAAUGGGGGUUGCUUACAGGAGCGGAAAUGCUUCAAAGACAAGCUGGAUCACCAAAGUUCACUCCAGCAUGGUGGCAGCUCACUAGAACUGGCACCUAUACUUCACUGCACAGCCUGUAGGCUGCUCAGCAGCUUGCAGAGUGGUUUUCCUUGGUUUGUUUUGGUAGCUCUGUUGUUCUGAGCCUCUUGCAGGCAGCUCUGCUGAUUUCUUUUUUUCUCCAGGCAGUUCAACUUGUUUGAGAGUGUCUCUUGUCAGUCCUUAAUUGCAUUAUGAGAGAGGAGCAUCUGGUCAGUUUUGGGGACUUCCUGAAGCCAUUCAGUUGUUUAUUUCCUGAUUCUUAUAAACCUCCCUGCAAGAUUCAAUGUUUCACCUCUCUUUUAACAUCCCAGUUCUUAAGAUUCACUCCAAAAUAGAAGGUGUUAAUUUGGGAGGAACUGCUGCACAACAUGUUAUAAAAUACACUUUAAGAAUCAGUAUUGAAGUUGACACUGAUUCUCGUGAGUGAGCUUAAAGGUCGAUGAAAAAGAACACCAUUGGCAAGUAAAUUUAGAGUUGGUGAAAAUGUAGGUUCUGUAACAAAAUGGGUGAUUAACAGUAACCAGAAACUAGGGUGAAAGGAGAACAUUCCAUUCCUUAAUACUUAUUUUUCAGUUAUUUGUCACCUAGAUGUUCAAUAUUGGAAGGGAUGGGAGGUUAUCAGAAUAAUCCUCUAAGGUCUGUGUAGGUGAAAUGGCCCUUGGACAAGAACAGGCCCAUUCAGCACAAAGCUCUGUCCAUUCCUGCCGUGGAGACAGUUGUCUUCAGCAGAGGUUAGACACUAUGGAGUGUUAUUAUUAUUAUUAAUUUUUGGUUUUUCAAGACAGGGUUUCUCUGUAUAGCCCUGGCUGUCCUGGAACUCACUUUGUAGACCAGGCUGGCCUUGAACUCAGAAAUCCGCCUGCCUCUGCCUCCCAAGUGCUGGGAUCAAAGGCGUGCGCCACCACGCCUGACAUGGCGUGUAAUUAUUAACAGUGUGCUCAGGUCUAACACUUUGCUAUUCAUUUUCUGUUCAUCUUGGUUUUGUGUGUGUGUGUGUGUAUGUGUCUCCUCUCAACCCUGUCACAUUCCUCCCUACCACUUCUUGUUACUCUUUGGCCAAUAUUUUCCUCCUUUUUUGUUAAACAUUGUUUCUUAAUAAGUUUUUUGUAUGUUUAGCUUUUUUUUUUUUAAAAAGACCAGGUCUCUCAUAGCCCAGGCUGGCCUUGAACAUGUAGCUAAAGAUGACCUCUACUCUCAAAACUCCUGCCACUACUUUCAGAGUGCUAGAAUUAUAGACAAGAGCCACCCCAUCCAACUUUCAUAGAUUUUUUUUUUGAACUUCUAUUUUAAAUUCUAUUUCUUUAAACUUUUACAUUGGUUUGGAUUUCCCACAAUAUGCUUAAGAGUUAAUAUUGCAUUCUUUGUUAUGACAUUUACUGUUUGGAGCGUCACAUGGCACAGUGCACAGUGGAGGUCAAACAAUAAGUCACUUGCCCUUUUAAGGGAAUGAACUCAGUUUGUUAUGAUUGAUGGCAAGCGCCUUUGCCCACAGUGUUGUCUUGCUAGCCUAGCCCUUGAUUCUUUAAAACAGAUUUUUAAUUACACUUAUUUGGAGGGAUGUGUGGGUGUGGGUGCAUGUGCGCGCCCACGCGCACAGGUUUAUGCACCAUGGUGAGUCUAUGGAGAUCAUAGGACAACUUGUGAGGGUUGGCGUCUGCUCUCCCUUCUACCAUAUUGUUCAGCAAUGGAGAUCAUUAGGCUUGAAGGCGUGCACAUGCAUCCAUUGACCCAUCUUACCAGCCCAACACAUUAGGAGGUCCCGAGUUGGAGCUACUGGGAGAGCUUGUCUUUUGGACCGUUUUCAGCCGAGUUACCACAGUGUCUAUUAAUGGGUAUCUAGAGUCACUGUCAUUUGGCUAGAUUGGUGUUUAGCUAUUAAAAAGCUUGAGUACUGUGUGUUUUAGUGUUCAGAGAUAGUAGUAUGUUGUCCUUUGCAAGUAAGAGAUGAAGUAAGACCCGAGACUAUUUAAUCUACUGUGUCAGAACCUCUCUCAUUGAGUCUUGUAUUUUCUUUCCUUCCUUCCUUUUCUUCCUGUAAUUUUUCCUUUAUUUUAUAUGUAUGUGUGUUUUGCCUUCAUGUUAGCCUGUGCACUAUCUGUAUGCAGUGCCCAAAGAUGACAGAAGAGGCCAUUAGAUUCCUUGGGAUUAGAGGUAUCAGAGGGUCUUGAGCCAUGUGGAAUUCCAAGCCAGGCCCUCUGGAAGAAAAGCCAGUGCUCUUGAUUGCUGAGCCAUCUCUCCAGCUCUAAGUUUUGGUUUUGUUUUGUUUUUUUUCCUUAAUUAAUGGGUUUGUGUACUACUUCAUUGAAUUGGCAUUGAAUCCCUAAAUUAUAGCUUACUGUUCAAAUCUUGUAGCAUCUCUCUUUCAGGGAUGCAAGUCAUUUACUAUCAUUUUAAAAUUAGCAUUUACACUUUGAGUAAAAGGCCUGCAUUACAUGGAAAGGUAUGUACUUAAAAUCUUCAUUUCCGGGGCUGGAGAGAUGGCUCAGCGGUUAAGAGCCAUGACUGCCUUUCCAGAGGCCUUGAGUUCAAUUCCCAGCAACCACAUGGUGGCUCACAACCAUCUGUAAUGGGAUCUGGUCCUCUUCUGGUGUGUCUGAAGAUACCCACAGUGUACUCAUAUACAUAAAAAUAAAUAAAUCUUUUUUUUUUUUUUUAAAGUCUUCAUUUCCUCUUGGAGAGGAUCAUGGAAGGAGAUUCCCCUGAUAGAUUAAAACUAGCUGUUUGUUUGGUCACUUCCAUUUUUGUUGCAUAGUUUUCUUUUUAAUAAUGAACAUACAGCCCCAUUUAAAAGAGUGUCUGAUACUAACUACAUCCUGAUUUUAGAAGCUAUCUGUAGAUGAGUCUGUUUGCCCCACUUGUUUUUCCUUAUAGUAUAGAAUACUUUUUAUCAUUAACAUAAAAAUUUUAGGUGUUUAUUUUAUUUUGCCUCAUGAAUGUUCAGACAUGUCAGCUUGGGAGACUGAUUUGAGAUGACUUUUAUUGCUUUACUGAAACAGCUCUGUUGCGUAACUGUCCUGUAUCUAUCAAUACUCAGUGGAGUGGCAUCGGCAUCUGCCAGGGAUGGGAACUCACUCCUUAGCUGUUUGUACUCACUCGGAGUCCAGACUCCCUCGAAGGAUGUCUCCAAAGUGAUCCUUCAAAGAUCGCAGUGACCUUGUUCCAGUCAAGUUUGAUAGCACAAUAAGCAGGUGGAGAUGGUUGAUAUUCAGGUGUGGCCAGUUAAUACUGGGGUCUUUAAGGGCCGUAUGUAUACUUCUCAAGUGUGUUUGCUGCCUAGAAUGUUCCUGAUCUAUAUAAAAACUGUGUUGUGAAUCUCUCUCCACACAGCCUCUGUUUUGGAGCCAGGAAGGUUGUCAUAGUUGGCUGAACGCUGGUUAGGAUUAGUAUUCCUUGAUUGCCUGAUUUGUCACAUU